rnacentral:lncRNA from 1 species
GGGAUCCUCAAUUCAGCAAAUAAACAGGUUCCUGGGGGGAAGGGACAUCUUGCACCGCGGCUCCCUAAAUCUAGUCCUCUGGGGUGUCGAGGGGCGGGUUGGCCGGAAAGAAAAUGCAGCCUGCGUCCGCCUGCUUUGAUCCGACCAGUCGGGAAACUCGAGCCUCCAUCCAGCUCGGACUGCGACUCUGUAGGCCAGGCUGGUGCGGUCCUGACUGCAUGGUCCCCACAGCGGCUGGAUAAUUCGGCAAACCUGGCCCUUUCUUCAGAGGCGGGUCGCUCCGCUCCGCCGUGUGGACCUGAACUCGCCGAGCUGUGAGGGAAUCCGGCCACCCUGCGCUGUCCUGGGCGCCUGAGUGGCGGCGCCCUUGGCCCUGGCAGAGAAGGGCUUGCUUUGUAUGCUCCAGGGACACGUGUCUGAGGCAGCUCAGGCCUCAGCGAGAUCUGCCAUCUGGUUCUCCUGCGGGCUUCUUCCUUUCUUGGGACCUAAGAACCAGCCCGGGCAGGAAAGUGCAAGAGCCCUUCUUUUUCUGCCGGUCCGGACUGUCCCCGCCUCCAGAAAUUGUGGAAAAUGCGCGAUUGUGCAGAGGCUGUAGGGGCUCCGGGCCCUGCCCUGCCCAACCCGGGGACCUUCCGGGCCCUGGAUUCGCUGCUGUGGGUUUCCGGGGGCAGAGACUCACCAGCAGCGCUCAGCCCGCCCCCGACCGGUCACCGUACUGCGCCGGGGAUCCGACCUGCCCAGACGAAGAAAGGACGGAAGCCCUUCUCGCCUACAUGCAGUUCAGAGACGACUUCUCAACCCUAGCUUGCAGAGAAUAGUCUCCUGCCUUGAAUCCUGGAUUUUCCUCAUGCCCAUCAAGGUGGAAGAGAGAGAGCUUUGCUCUAUGACACAUCUGGAGACCCAAGCUAAUGAGGAAGUUGAGCCAUUCUCAAUGGGUACCUUCCAAGUUAUCGGUCCCAGCCUGCAGGAAGGAGAGGGGGCAGCAACUCCAAGCCAAGAACCCUUCUCAACUUCAGCCUGUCCUUUCAUCUAACCCAAGCCACUGACAAACCCCAGCCCUGGAGUCACCUCAUGCUUUCUCUCCUCACCGGCCAGAGAGCACUGAUGGAGAAAUUCACACAACUAGA